CCUACGGGUGGCAGCAGUGGGGAAUAUUGGACAAUGGGCGAAAGCCUGAUCCAGCCAUGCCGCGUGUGUGAAGAAGGCCUUCGGGUUGUAAAGCACUUUCAGUGGGGAAGAAAGCCUUGGGGCUAAUACCCUCGAGGAAGGACAUCACCCACAGAAGAAGCACCGGCUAACUCCGUGCCAGCAGCCGCGGUAAUACGGAGGGUGCGAGCGUUAAUUGGAAUUACUGGGCGUAAAGCGCGCGUAGGCGGUCUGAUAAGCCGGUUGUGAAAGCCCCGGGCUCAACCUGGGAACGGCAUCCGGAACUGUCAGGCUAGAGUGCAGGAGAGGAAGGUAGAAUUCCCGGUGUAGCGGUGAAAUGCGUAGAGAUCGGGAGGAAUACCAGUGGCGAAGGCGGCCUUCUGGACUGACACUGACGCUGAGGUGCGAAAGCGUGGGUAGCAAACAGGAUUAGAUACCCCGGUAGUC
rnacentral:rRNA from 1 species